UACGUAGGGUGCGAGCGUUGUCCGGAAUUAUUGGGCGUAAAGGGCUCGUAGGCGGUUUGUCGCGUCGGGAGUGAAAUCAUCUGGCUUAACUGGGUGCUUGCUUUCGAUACUGGCAGACUAGAGGUAUGCAGGGGAGAACGGAAUUCCUGGUGUAGCGGUGAAAUGCGCAGAUAUCAGGAGGAACACCGGUGGCGAAGGCGGUUCUCUGGGCAGGACCUGACGCUGAGGAGCGAAAGUGUGGGGAGCGAACAGG
rnacentral:rRNA from 1 species